rnacentral:rRNA from 1 species
AUUGAACGCUGGCGGCAUGCCUUACACAUGCAAGUCGAACGGCAGCACGGGAGCAAUCCUGGUGGCGAGUGGCGAACGGGUGAGUAAUGUAUCGGAACGUGCCCAGUCGUGGGGGAUAACGUAGCGAAAGCUACGCUAAUACCGCAUACGAUCUAUGGAUGAAAGCGGGGGACCGUAAGGCCUCGCGCGAUUGGAGCGGCCGAUAUCAGAUUAGGUGGUUGGUGGGGUAAAGGCCUACCAAGCCGACGAUCUGUAGCUGGUCUGAGAGGACGACCAGCAACACUGGGACUGAGACACGGCCCAGACUCCUACGGGAGGCAGCAGUGGGGAAUUUUGGACAAUGGGCGCAAGCCUGAUCCAGCAAUGCCGCGUGCAGGAUGAAGGCCUUCGGGUUGUAAACUGCUUUUGUACGGAGCGAAAAGGCUCUCUCUAAUACAGGGGGCUCAUGACGGUACCGUAAGAAUAAGCACCGGCUAACUACGUGCCAGCAGCCGCGGUAACAC